UCUCUUGUAAAUAUGCAUCAGAAAUGCAUUGCCUUAUUGAAUUACUUCAUGUAUAUGCUUAUUGCUCUUGCUGUAAAUUAUCUAACAUGUGUCAAUCAUCAUUGAUCAGUAAUUCUCUUCAAAUUCUAUAGGGAUGGCCUGAUGAGGGGUAUAAUUAAGUGUGUCCAAUUGAAAUUUCAUGGCUACUUUUGCUCUACAGAUAAAAUGUUACAUAAAUCACAGAAUGAAGUUGCAUCCCAGUUGUUUCUUUUACAUUUCUUAUCAUCAAAGCAAGAUUUAUGGUUGUCAGAGCAGAUCUGAGCUCCAUUACAUGCUGAUAUCAUUUGGGCUGUCCUGUGUUACCAUGCUGCUUUUAGAUAAAAGUGAGUAUGGCAGUGUGUAGACAAGUAAACAGGCUUUACCUGAUAUAUAAAUUUACCAGAUACAGAUUUCAUUUUUGACCUGAUAAUUCACAAUAUUGUUAUGAAAUGUGUGAACAAUAGGGGUAAAUUUCUUCUUUGUUAUGCAAUGAUUGCAUAAUGAAGUGACUCUAAUGGAAUAUUUUUAUUUUGAUGUAAAGAAAAAUGUAUAUGCUCUGAUUUGGUACCAAGAUGAUUUUGUAUCUUGUUGUUUUAAGGAUGAAAAUUGGCUUCAGGUCAUGCAUGGUGUGAGGCUCCAAAUGUGUUUCAUCUGUGCUAUUUUCUUCAGUCUGAGUAAGGGAGAUAAAUCCUCAAUAGCUAAUGAAAUAUUGGGAGCUUGGGGACAGGGUUUUAGGGAUUUGGUGACAGUUGAUUGGGAAUUCUCAGGUGCAAAUUUGAAAGGGAUCUGACAUCUUUAGAGUCUCUUCAAGGUAUCACACCGGUAAUCGGCCAAUCAAAAUGAACUUAGUCAAUUGUAGUUCCAUAUAUACUUCAGAAUUAUUUUUUUCCUUGACUGCAUUUUUACAUUUUCCUUUACUCAGUUUUAAAAUUUUGUGUACCACUGAGUAGGAUAUUUCAUGUAUUUUGUUAGGUGAUGAUUUUUUUUCACAGGGACUACUUCUUUCAGGGCUCAUGCAGCAGCUUCCUGGGGAGUGUGCAGUCUGUUUACAUACAAAUGGAAAACACGUGGUUUUGAGGGUAGACCUGUUUGGAGCUAGAUAUUUUGAGAAAAUGCAGUAUCGCUUGCCCUUUUUAUGGUGUUAGCUGAUGAGAUAGGGCUCAUGCAGCAGCUUCCUGGGGAGUGUGCAGUCUGUUUACAUACAAAUGGAAAACACGUGGUUUUGAGGGUAGACCUGUUUGGAGCUAGAUAUUUUGAGAAAAUGCAGUAUCGCUUGCCCUUUUUAUGGUGUUAGCUGAUGAGAUAGGGCUCAUGCAGCAGCUUCCUGGGGAGUGUGCAGUCUGUUUACAUACAAAUGGAAAACACGUGGUUUUGAGGGUAGACCUGUUUGGAGCUAGAUAUUUUGAGAAAAUGCAGUAUCGCUUGCCCUUUUUAUGGUGUUAGCUGAUGAGAUAGGGCUCAUGCAGCAGCUUCCUGGGGAGUGUGCAGUCUGUUUACAUACAAAUGGAAAACACGUGGUUUUGAGGGUAGACCUGUUUGGAGCUAGAUAUUUUGAGAAAAUGCAGUAUCGCUUGCCCUUUUUAUGGUGUUAGCUGAUGAGAUAGGUAACAAAUAACAUUUCCUCCGAAUAUUUUGUCAUGAAAAAUACAACCUGAUUUUUAAGAAUUUUUUCCCCUCUAUAGUGUUAUAUAGUGAAAACAAUUACCGGUGUGAUACCUUGAAGGGCUGUGUGUCAAAUUGAAAAAAUGCAUGCAGGUGCCAGUUUUCAGUAUUUUAUGUCAAAUCUUGUUAACAGAAAUUAGUUUCUGUAGUCUGAAGAUAGAAAAAUGCUUUUAAAAUUUUGUAAUGAAAAAAAUAUGAAAAAUGAUGAUUUUUGGUGUGGAAAACAUGUAAUUUUUAAUAUAUAAUAAUAAAAACCUUUAAAAAUGGAUGAUUUGAAGUCACUGGAGCUUAGAAUAUUGGUUUCUGUGUUCUAGAUGCUGUAAAAGUGUGCAGAUCAG